AGUAACGUAGACGAAAGCUACGCUAAUACCGCAUACGAUCUAUGGAUAGAAGGCGGGGGAUCGCAAGACCUCGCGAGAUUGGAGCGGCGAUAUCAGAUUAGGUAGUUGGUGAGGUAAAGGCUCACCAAGCCGACGAUCUGUAGCUGGUCUGAGAGGACGACCAGCCACACUGGGACUGAGACACGGCCCAGACUCCUACGGGAGGCAGCAGUGGGGAAUUUUGGACAAUGGGCGCAAGCCUGAUCCAGCAAUGCCGCGUGCAGGAUGAAGGCCUUCGGGUUGUAAACUGCUUUUGUACGGAACGAAACGGUGAGCUCUAAUACAGUUUGCUAAUGACGGUACCGUAAGAAUAAGCACCGGCUAACUACGUG
rnacentral:rRNA from 1 species